rnacentral:rRNA from 1 species
AGUGGCGAACGGGUGAGUAACGCGUAAGUAAUCUGCCCCUAAGUAGGGGAUAACUCUGAGAAAUUAGAGCUAAUACUGUAUGUGGUGGUGGGGGUAAUGCUUCAUCACUAAAGCCUUAGGGCGCUUAGGGAGGGGCUUGCGUCCGGUUAGCUAGUUGGUAGGGUAAUGGCUUACCAAGGCGAUGAUCGGUAGCUGGUUUGAGAGGACAUCCAGCCACACUGGGAUUGAGAUACGGCCCAGACUCCUACGGGAGGCAGCAGCAAGGAAUUUUGUGCAAUGGGCGAAAGCCUGACACAGCGACGCCGCGUGGGGGAUGAAGGCCUUCGGGUUGUAAACCCCUUUUCUCAGGGAAGAAUAAUGACGGUACCUGGGGAAUAAGUCUUGGCUAACUACGUGCCAGCAGCCGCGGUAAUACGUAGGAGGCGAGCGUUAUCCGGAUUUACUGGGCGUAAAGAGGACGUAGGCAGUUUUUCAAGUCGAUUGUAAAAUCUCCCGGCUUAACUGGGAGGAGACAGUCGAUACUGUUAGACUAGAGAGCAGCAGGGGGAGGUGGAAUUCCCGGUGUAGUGGUGAAAUGUGUAGAUAUCGGGAGGAGCACCAGUGGCGAAGGCGGCCUCCUAGGCUGUUUCUGACGCUGAGGUCCGAAAGCGUGGGGAGCAAACAGGAUUAGAUACCCUGGUAGUCCACGCUAUAAACGAUGGACACUAGGUAUGGGGAGUAUCGACCCUCUCUGUGCCGAANCUAACGCAUUAAGUGUCCCGCCUGGGGAGUACGGCCGCAAGGCUAAAACUCAAAG